AGUUGCACUUGUUAGCAUUUAUUUAUUUAUUUAUUUUGGUUUUUCCGUUCAUCUUUAAAUGUAAUUUGAUCUCCGUUAUCACGGUAAUCAAUGUAGGUGAUGUUAGCCCUCACGAUCGUUGGUAACUUUCGUUACCGGUUUAAGACCUGGAGAGAGAAUCUCGCGGAGGUCGCUCAUAUGUUGAAUCCUUCGGGAAGACGGAAAGGGACGGUCAGAGCCAUUGCCGACCGCUAGAGUGAGACGGGAACUCAGAUCUUUAAAGAUCCGAAGAAGCCCGAGGCAAUCUCCGGGAAACGGCGUGCCAAAAGUACGUCUGGGGCCACCUUCCCCGUUCUGAGGAAGCUAGUACUCGUUCACUUUGUCCCAGACCUUUGUGAAGUGUGGAGUGCGCAGACUUUUAUCCCGGGUUCCCCUGUCCAGUCCUGAGAUCUCGACAAGGUUAGGAUCGUGUGUGUGUGAAGAAGUGAACUUUUGUGCGGCCUAGCUAGAGAUCAGUUCGUUGGCUUCGCUUCUUUCACCCUACCAGCCAAGCAGCACCAGUAGGAGUACGAGCGCGCGUCCACCACCGCCCCGCAUCGAGUGUGGGACAAGUUUUCAUCCCGGCGCACGCUAAAUUGCCGGAAGGGACGAGCCGUCAACAUCUCGUCCGAAGGAGUGUCUCGGACCUCCUGGCGGUCGAACCGCCCACGUGCUGGCCCGGAAAGCCAAGUUCCGGCCCGCGCAACUUCAUCGAAGUCGACCGCGCCCUCGUAGGUCGAACCGACAGCGUCGUCCGCGCCGUCCGCGAGCACGCGGUGAACAUCAGCAGCAGCAUCAGCAAGUAAAAGGAGCAGUAGUCCGGUGAGUCCGUUCUUUUUCAUCGGGUGAAGGGUGACGGCCACGAAAGGCGUCACGAACGUUUUUCCGUUCCGGCUGCGGCCGUAGAGCGGACGCCAUUUUGAUGGAGGGCGUCCAUUUUGUUUAAGCGCGUGUUGCCAUGCGCCCGGAGUGUGACGGCCUUUAUUGAUCCGCCCCACACAUCCACGAAAUUGCACUCUAGUGCCUUUUGUCUGCCGCAGUCCGCUUGACUGCCGGUGACGUCAGCGAUCAGCUGUUCCAGCUGACGAGCUGAAAAUUUGGUAGAGGUUUGAGCACAAAAGCACGGGGUAACAGAAGAACAAACAGUAGAAGUAGGGAGAGCAAACGCACACAGUAGGAAGAUGGCUAGGUAGACGUUUAAGACGAAACAAUGAAUGAAAUACAAAACCUUAGACUAGUCCAAUAAAAUGAGCACCUCUUUUUGAUUUCCUACCUGAAGUAUUUUGUGUGAUUAUUCUGGAGUUCAAUAAAAGUCCCUGCAGUUAAAAUGAGCUCACGUGUUAGUUUUUCUGGUCGAUCCGGAGCGCUGCUUCCGUCACUUUAGGGUCCGUUCCCAGUCCUUUCCUCCCCAAUGCAAAAGUUCUGCGUAUUUCCCAUGCUUCGUGAAGUUCUCUGGUGGCGGGUGUCGGUACUACCCAUGAUGAUUCAUACGGGCACGGGGGGUCCUAUACUGGCGGAUUUCUGAGGAGCUUUUUCGGGAGGCUGAGCUUUCCGUACCGUUCUUGUGGGUCACUUUGGUACGCUGGCCGAUUCGAUCUUGCUUCUCCCCUGGGAAGAAGUUCAACCGAGCACCUCUUCGAGAGUCUCAAACCGGGCAAAUUUAACAUGGCGGGCAGUCUCCCUCACGGGAGUGGCGCAUAAGCUGCACCGUUUCCAACCGAUCGAAUCGCAA